rnacentral:lncRNA from 1 species
AAAAUGGAAUUAUAGGGCUCUGUGAGAUACAGUUUGCGUACAUAUGUUUGUUGUUAUUUUUACAGUACUCCGGGAAAGCAAAAUGCUGCACUAUAAAGAAACCCUGCUGAGAAAAAGCAACCUGGAGACUUACUCAGCUGCAUCAUACAAGGGGAAACGAGCAUCACUCCGUCUCUAUCAAACUCUCUGCAUUUUGAGAGCCAAAGAUUUGUCAUUUGCCACAAGAGCCUUCGCUACGUGCAUUCUGAUAAUAACAACAAGGAAGUUCUUAAGGAACACUACCUUUAGCACCAUCCCCAAACCCAGUGUUCUUGAAGACACUUCUCGAGCAUACAGCAAAACUUGGUCACAUCACAUGAGAUGAUAGUGCUGUAAGUAAUUUAAAGGCUGGUACUGCAGCUGCCAGCUCAGAUGUUUCCUGGGAUGUUUUAUCAGUACUAGAUUAGCAGAAGAAGAAUCACCACCACACAAGCAGAGGAGUUCUGUUUCUGUACUUACUUACAUACAAAGAUAAGAGGCCUUGGAAGGCAAGAAUACAUAAGUCAAAAUUUUAGUUGAGUGAUGGUCAAGAAAUGAGUUUGAUCUUACUGGAAUAUUUUUCAACUCACAUUAAUUUGCUUAGUGUGUGAUCAGUUCUGCCUCUGAUCCACAGCAAUGCAAGACAGGUGAUGAGAGACAACACUGUCGCAAUGCUUUGUGUGAACAGACAAGAAGCCAGACCACUUUCACUAUGACCAGAACCUGUCUGCUUAUGGGGUCAUGUUAUGCUAACAGCCACUCAGCUACCAGGAUUAGUGAACACCUGUAGAGCAUCAGUUGUGAAAAUACUCCACCUCAUCUCUCCACAUCCAUGUAUGGUCCCAGAAAUGAUGCAAUAGAUUUUGCAGGGGAUGUCACAGUCAUAUAUGUUCUUGCCUUCUCUGAAAGCCUGAAAAUUCAGGAUCUCUGAAUGAUUUCUUGAUCUCUGAUUUCCUUAUCUGUGUGGACUGCUGCAUACCUACCUUCUAAUUGAAAGGAGAAGAGGAUGUUCAGACAGGAGGAUGCACUACUCAUUACAUCUCUUUGGACUAAAGAAUUUUGGUUCUUGAAUCUGUUAAGACUGCUGUUAGUGGAGAUGUUACCUUUUCCACUGAUGUAGAACAUAAUGUCCCCUAAGUAUGUGAACAGUUCAUUUAGUUUCAGCCUGUCUGCAUUUUCACGUUUCAUCUGUGACAUUGACUGUUAGAAACAUGCUUGUUUUCCCACAAUGGUGGCAUAAAAUUUUUGUUAGUGGCAAGAAAAGAUGGAGAAUAAGGGAAUUUCAAGCCUCAGUGGGAGAACCUCUCCCUUCGUGUUACUAGACCCCCCCCCCCCUUUCCUUUGCUUAAGUAGAGCUAAGCCUUUCAGGCUUUUGCUAAGAUUAUAUCUGGCUUUGCCUGAAAGAAAGAGAGAACUGGCCAUUUUCUUCCAGCAGUUAUCUAAAUGAAUCUCUGACUUUAUAUUAUCAGUUAGCCACAUUCUAACACUUUGAUCAAACUUAAGUUUGAUCCCUGGAGCCUGUAUAGCUUCUGUGGCGGCUUUUAGAAGUAUCUUCAGUCCUGAGAGCUCUGGAGUAGCCAUCUGAGAAUCUUUUCACAUAUUCACAAACAGAUUUACUUUGCAAGGUGAAUAAAACAGAUAGAGAUCUUUCA